AAAUCGAGGGCCAGAGAAGGUAUUCAAUACAGUGAUUCACCAAUUCCAUACAUUAUUCAGUUCUCAUCAUGAAUCCUAGUAUUCCUUUGUGGAGGAGUGGAUCUAAAGCCUUCUAGAAGACAUGGGGCUGAAUCAAGUCUAUCUUUAGGUACUUUGGUACCAAGAACAGUGAAGGGAAGAGAUGAA